ensembl:lncRNA
UGUGCCAGGAAACGUGCUAAUUGCCAGGUGUGACACGUUAACCUCCUCUGGAGGAAGUGCGUGAGAAGCAGUUCAGCUGCUGGCUGAAGUGAAGUCACAGCCCUAGUAUGUGUAGGUGCUGUAUUACCAUUUGCAGAAGAAAGGAACCUGAUGCAAUCUUCAAGGUGCAGCAUGGCAAAGCUUUGUGAGAUGCUUUUUUCUGUGCUUUGCUUAAAAUGGUGGAAAACAAGUACUUCUUCAAGAAACAUUGGUGAUGCUUCUUACUGGAAUUGCUGAUGGAGUUAAGGCCUGAAGACUUGCUGUUUUGCCACCUCUUGGCUGCUGAAGGCAAGAUCUUGUGAGAAUGUGACUGAUACGCUGCUGGAGUCGUCAGGUUUUUUGUCCUGAGGAUGGGAGAAACAAGAGAUGUUAAAACUAAAAUGUAUGCCAAUGAAACUUCAAGUGUAUAAAGAGAAAUCUGGAAAAAGAACCAGGAAAUGAAAAAGCCAUGGUACUUGAUUUUCAUUUUGACAUGCCUUAAUUAUCAGCUGGAUUAUUUAAAUCUGCAGCUAUAUUUAUUCCAUGUAUGUAAUCAUAAACACUGAUAUUAGGAGGAUCAGUGUAUUUUCAUUUCCUGUAUUUGGAGAUUUAAUUUAUUACCCUUCAGUAUAGCAUUAGUGGUUUUUGCAUUUAUUUUCCUUUUCUAAAUAAAUAUAAAUAAUAUAGAGAGAGAUAAUAUUUUUUAAUUUAUUUUUCAAUAACAUUGUUUUAUAAGUAGUCCUUCCAGGCUGUGAAAAUAACGUAUCUAGAACAAUAAACUGAAUGGGAUGUUGUAACAUAUAUUGAUGUUGCUAUUUGGCUGAAUCUUGAUUUUACAGAGGCAGCAAUGCUACCAGUCUGAGCCAUGAAUCUUUUCCAAGAGAACAUAAAAUACACAGAGAUUGAAAGUGAUAAAAGUUCAGAGAAUUCCUUCUUUUUUACUAUGGUGCUAGUGAGUUACUUCUUUUAAUGUAACCUGUUCCAUCCAGGUCUAACACCACAUUGGACUUAAAGAGUUUUAUUCCUGAAUUUGGAUGACACAGGAACAUCUCAUCCUGCUGAACUCCUAUUCACAGCAGGAGGAGUAAAUGGAGUUAUUCUGUGUGCCCCAUUCUAGCUGCUCAGAAUGUAGAAAAUGGUGAAAUAAAGCAGGUUUAAAAUUAUGCAAGCUAGCUGGAAAAAAAAAUGAAAUAAAAGCAUUUUUUAAAAAGUGCUGAGUAUUCUUAUCUUGCAUCUCACAAACAGCAGAUGUGACACCAACUUCUCUAGCAAGAAUCCAAGAUGCCUAUAAUGCAGUGGCUUAUUAAAAGCAACCAAUGUCCAUCCUCCCACUUCUUUUCCCCCAUCUUGUAUAGGUAAAUGAUGUUAUUUGUUCACUGGAUGCCUGCUCCUGGUACUAAGUGCCUUAGUUUAUAUUGACUAAAACACCGCCUUCACUUAAAUAAGACUUUAAAUAAGGUGAAAUAUUUGCUUAAAGGAAGUAAAAUAUUAGAAAACAUAACUUUCUUUUAUGUCCAAGGUAGUGAAUGAAAAUCAUAGCAAUGAAAUCAUGAGAAUCACCUUAUUUAAUGUGAAUGUUCAAUUUGUGAAGGUAGGAUUUUGGGUAAUUAAAACAAAGGAGCUACAGAUUUUAAGUCAUUACGUAUUAAUGUCCUGUUCCUUCAUUUUUUUUCCAGAUCAACGCAUACAAUGUUAUCUAAUGACUAUAAAUAGUCUUUUAUGGUUGAGCAGAGCAAGGAACUCACAAGAAGAUCCUCCAAGGGUAGCAGGUGCUGCUUGUGUGAGGGUUGCUGAUUGUGCAUUGCUCAGUGUUCUCAUCUGUUAUGAACAUUUGUCACCUGCUGCUAUGAUCUCCAUCUUCCAGGUGAAGAAAACAGUCUCUUAAUGCUUAUUGCACCUGGCAUUGUGAAUAAUAAAUGUUUAGAAUACUGAGAAUGGAGCCAAGAAAGUCACACGUGAUAUCGAGAAAAGAACUGUGUCCUUAUCAGAAUUUUUUGUAUGCUGACUUUGAAAGCUCAUCAACACUGUCAAACUUACAAAGAUACUGAAAUAAAAAUAGAGUGUUUGCUCCUUAUAAAAUGCCAUAAUUAAGGUCUUCACACCUUUUGAAAGUUUUAACUGUGGUUAUUGCUGUCAGUGAUGAACAGCUGUUCAAUUAGCAUCAACUACAGGCAGUUCUUAAAGCUAUCUGACACCUAAAUUUUGUGCAGUAACUUUUCAGCCAAAGUGUCUGCUAAUGGGUGUUAUAGAGAUACACUCAGGGAUGUAUAUAUCCAUAAUGAGUGCAGUAGAGCUUAACUAGUAAGAUCUCUGUCAGUUGGAUUCUAUCCAUAAAAAGAGAUGUAGUACAAUUAUUAUGUCCUAAGACUUCCAGACAAUGGAUUAUGAAGGUGCUUUUAACAUUUUUGAAGUGAUAUCUGUUGUUGGACAUUAAUUCUCUGAAGA